CAGAUGCUAAUACCGGAUAACAAACACUAGACGCAUGUCUAGAGUUUGAAAGAUGGUUCUGCUAUCACUCUUGGAUGGACCUGCGGUGCAUUAGCUAGUUGGUAAGGUAACGGCUUACCAAGGCAAUGAUGCAUAGCCGAGUUGAGAGACUGAUCGGCCACAUUGGGACUGAGACACGGCCCAAACUCCUACGGGAGGCAGCAGUAGGGAAUCUUCCACAAUGGACGAAAGUCUGAUGGAGCAACGCCGCGUGAGUGAAGAAGGGUUUCGGCUCGUAAAGCUCUGUUGGUAGUGAAGAAAGAUAGAGGUAGUAACUGGCCUUUAUUUGACGGUAAUUACUUAGAAAGUCACGGCUAACUACGUGCCAGCAGCCGCGGUAAUACGUAGGUGGCAAGCGUUGUCCGGAUUUAUUGGGCGUAAAGCGAGUGCAGGCGGUUCAAUAAGUCUGAUGUGAAAGCCUUCGGCUCAACCGGAGAAUUGCAUCAGAAACUGUUGAACUUGAGUGCAGAAGAGGAGAGUGGAACUCCAUGUGUAGCGGUGGAAUGCGUAGAUAUAUGGAAGAACACCAGUGGCGAAGGCGGCUCUCUGGUCUGCAACUGACGCUGAGGCUCGAAAGCAUGGGUAGCGAACAGGAUUAGAUACCCUGGUAGUCCAUGCCGUAAACGAUGAGUGCUAAAGUGUUGGGAGGUUUCCGCCUCUCAGUGCUGCAGCUAACGCAUUAAGCACUCCGCCUGGGGAGUACGACCGCAAGGUUGAAACUCAAAGGAAUUGACGGGGGCCCGCACAAGCGGUGGAGCAUGUGGUUUAAUUCGAAGCAACGCGAAGAACCUUACCAGGUCUUGACAUCCAGUGCAAACCUAAGAGAUUAGGUGUUCCCUUCGGGGACGCUGAGACAGGUGGUGCAUGGCUGUCGUCAGCUCGUGUCGUGAGAUGUUGGGUUAAGUCCCGCAACGAGCGCAACCCUUGUCAUUAGUUGCCAUCAUUAAGUUGGGCACUCUAAUGAGACUGCCGGUGACAAACCGGAGGAAGGUGGGGAUGACGUCAAGUCAUCAUGCCCCUUAUGACCUGGGCUACACACGUGCUACAAUGGACGGUACAACGAGAAGCGAACCUGCGAAGGCAAGCGGAUCUCUUAAAGCUGUUCUCAGUUCGGACUGUAGGCUGCAACUCGCCAACACGAAGCUGGAAUCGCUAGUAAUCGCGGAUCAGCACGCCGCGGUGAAUACGUUCCCGGGCCUUGUACACAAGGCCCGUCA
rnacentral:rRNA from 1 species